GAAACAUGACUGUACCAGAUGAAUAAGGGGCUGCUAAACUCGUGCCAGCAGCAGCGGUAAUACGAGUGCCCCUAGCGUUAUCCGGGAUUUAUUGGGCGUAAAGAGUACGUAGGCGGUUUAUCGCAUCUCCUGUUAAAUCCCGAGGCUCAACUUCGGGGCUGCGGGAGAGAUGGACAAACUAGAGAUCGGGAGAGGCAAGCGGAAUUGCUGGUGUAGGGGUUAAAUCCGUUAAUAUCAGCAGGAACACCAAAUGCGAAGGCAGCUUGCUAGAACGAUUCUGACGCUAAGGUACGAAAGCGUGGGGAGCGAAUGGGAUUAGAUACCCCAGUAGUCCACGCCGUAAACGAUGGAUGCUAAACAUUGGCAGUAUCGACCCUGCCAGUGUUGUCUACCUAAGUUAACACCUUAAGCAUCCCGCCUGGGGAGUACGGCCGCAAGGCUAAAACUCAAAGGAAUAGACGGGGACCCGCACAAGCGGUGGAGCAUGUGGUUUAAUUCGACAAUAAGCGAGGAACCUUACCAAGGUUUGACAUCCGGCUGCAGACUCUGAGAAAUCAGAGAGCCUUCGAGGGUGCCGGACAGAUGCUGCAUGGUUGUCGUCAGCUCGUGUCGUGAGAUGUACCGUUAAGUCGGGUAACGAGCGCAACCCCUAUCCUAUGUUUUAUAUGUCAUGGGAGACUGCCCGCUUUAAGUGGGAGGAAGGCGGGGAUGACGUCAAAUCAGCAUGGUUCUUACACCUUGGGCGACACACGUGCUACAAUGGGAAGUACAAUGGGACGCCAAGCCGCAAGGUGGAGCAAAUCCCUAAAAACUUCUCUCAGUUCGGAUUGAGGUCUGCAACUCGACCUCAUGAAGUUGGAAUCGCUAGUAAACGCGAAUCAGCCACGUCGCGUUGAAUACGUUCUCGGGUCUUGUACUCACCGCCCGUCACACCAAGAGAGCCGGCAAUGCCCGAACUCCGAUGUACUUCGGAGGAAGGCAGGGCUGGUGAUAAGGGUGAAGUCGUAACAAGGUAACC
rnacentral:rRNA from 1 species